rnacentral:rRNA from 1 species
UACGAAGGGGGCUAGCGUUGCUCGGAAUCACUGGGCGUAAAGGGCGCGUAGGCGGUCUGCUAAGCGUGUGGUGAAAGCUCGGGGCUCAACCCCGAGUCGGCCGUGCGAACUGCUGGGCUUGAGCACUGUAGAGGCAGGCGGAAUUCCGGGUGUAGCGGUGGAAUGCGUAGAGAUCCGGAAGAACACCGGUGGCGAAGGCGGCCUGCUGGGCAGUAGCUGACACUGAGGCGCGACAGCGUGGGGAGCAAACAGG